AGAAUCAACGCUGGCGGCGUGCCUAACACAUGCAAGUCGAACGAGAAAGUGGAGCAAUCCAUGAGUACAGUGGCGACCGGGUGAGUAACACGUGACCAACCUACCUUCGAGUGGGGGAUAACUCCGGGAAACCGGGGCUAAUACCGCAUAAAAUCUUUGAAACGCGAGUUUCGUUGAUCAAAGGAGCAAUUCGCUUGAAGAGGGGGUCGCGGCCGAUUAGCUAGUUGGUGGGGUAAUGGCCCACCAAGGCGAAGAUCGGUAUCCGGCCUGAGAGGGCGCACGGACACACUGGAACUGAAACACGGUCCAGACUCCUACGGGAGGCAGCAGUGGGGAAUUUUGCGCAAUGGGGGAAACCCUGACGCAGCAACGCCGCGUGGAGGAUGAAGUCCCUUGGGACGUAAACUCCUUUCGACCAAGACGAUAAUGACGGUACUGGUGGAAGAAGCACCGGCUAACUCUGCGCCAGCAGCCGC
rnacentral:rRNA from 1 species